rnacentral:tRNA from 2 species
GGAGAAGUACUCAAGAGGCCGAAGAGGCGCCCCUGCUAAGGGUGUAGGUCGGGCUAUUAUCCGGCGCGAGAGUUCAAAUCUCUCCUUCUCCGCCA